CAUGCACCCUAACCCAAAGGUCAUAUCACAUAAUUGGUAUGAUUUUAAUCUGGUGUGCAAAUAGAAAAUUGGAUCUUGUCGCCUUUCAUUGAUGCUGUAGUGCCUUUGAAAGUGAAUUCAAGAUCUAACAAGU
ensembl:snoRNA small nucleolar RNA SNORA68